rnacentral:lncRNA from 1 species
CCCGCCCACUUCUCCCAUUGGCUCUCUUUUUCCCGCCCACUCCUCCCAUUGGCUCCGCCUUAGGCCCCGCCCCCGGCCCAAGAUGGCGGCGGGCCCCGCCGCCGCCGCCGCCCGCGGCCGCUUCCCCGCUCGGCCGCCGCCUCCGCCCCGAGUCCCGCCCGGGCCCCGCCGCUCCCGGGCCCCGCUGAGCGCCGCCACCGGCCCGGCCCGGCCGGACCCCGCGCUCCGAGCGCUGCUCGCCAUCGGCCGCGGCCUCCGCCGCCUGCGGGCGCUGCUCGGGGAGCGCCCCGGAGCCGCCCGGCCGGAGGAGUUCCGGGGGUUCCUCCCCGAGGAGCUGGAGAUGGCCCCGCCCCUCCCCCCGCGCCGCUCCCGCCGAGGUCAGUGACCCCAAAACCACCCGAAAUCACCCCAAAAAUCCCAUAAAUGCACCAGUCACCCAAGUCGCCCAAAAUCCCCCAAAUCACCCCCAAAAUCACCCCUAAAUCAGCCCAAAAUCACCCAAAAUACCCCUAAAUCCCCCAAAAUCACCCCAAAAUCAAGCCUAAAUCACCCAAAAUCACCCCUAAAUCACCCCAAAAUCACCUCAGAAAGCCCCAAAAUCCCCCAAAAUCAGCCCCAAAUAACUAAAAUCACCCCUAAAUCAUCCCAAAAAUCCCCUAAAUACACCAAAAUCAACCCAAAAUCGCCCAAAAUCACCCCAAAAAUCCCCUAAAUGCACCAAAGUCACCAAGUCACCCAAAAUCCCCCAAGUCACCCCAAAAUCCCCCAAAAUCAACCCUAAAUCACCCCAAAAAUCCCCUCAAUACACCAAAAUCAUCCAGGUCACCCAAAAUCCCCCAAAUUACCCCCAAAUCACCCCAAAAUCACCCCAAAAAUCCCCUAAAUGCACCAAAGUCACCAAGUCACCCAAAAUCCCCCAAGUCACCCCAAAAUCCCCCAAAAUCAACCCUAAAUCACCCCAAAAAUCCCCUAAAUACACCAAAGUCAUCCAGGUCACCCAAAAUCCCCCAAAUUACCCCCAAAUCACCCCAAAAUCACCCCAAAAUCGCCCCAAAAAUCCCCUAAAUACACCAAAGUCACCCAAGUCACACAAAAUCCCCAAAGUCACCCCAAAAUCAUUCCAAAAUCACCACUAAAUUGCCCCAAAAUACCCCAAAAUCAACUCUAAAUCACCCCAAAAUCACCCCAAAAUCGCCCAAAAUCACCCCAAAAAUCCCCUCAAUGCACCAAAGUCUCCCAAGUCACCCAAAAUCCCUCAAAUCACCCCAAAUCACCCUAAAAAAUCCCCAAAAAUCCCCAAAAUCAACCCUAAAUCACCCAAAAUCACCACAAAAAUCCCCUAAAUACAUCAAAAUCAGCCCCAAAAUCCCCAAAAUCACCCCGAAAUCACCCCAAAAAUCCCCUAAAUACACCAAAGUCACUCAAGUCACCCAAAAUCCCCCAAAUCCCCCCAAAAUCAUUCCAAAGUCACCCUAAAAAUCCCCUAAAUACACCAAAGUCACCCCAAAAUCAUUCCAAAGUCACCCCUAAAUCACCCCAUAAUCCCCCAAAAUACCCCAAAAUACCCCAAAAUCGCCCCAAAAAUCCCCAAAAUCACCCCAAAAUCAACCCUAAAUCACCCCAAAAUCAACCCUAAAUCACCCAAAAUCACCCCAAAAAUCCCCUAAAUACACCAAAAUCACCCAAAAUCAACCCAAAACCACCCAAAAUCACCCCAAAAAUCCCAUAAAUACACCAGUCACUCAAGUCACCCAAAAUCUUACAAAUCACCCCAAAUUCAUUCCAAAGUCACCCCUAAAUCACCCAAAAGUCCCCCAAAUACCCCCAAAUCAGCUCCAAAUAACCAAAAUCACCCAAAAUCCCCCCCAAAUACUCCAAAAUACCCCAAAAUCAACCCUAAAUCACCCCAUAAUCACCCCAAAUCAUCCCAAAAUCACCCAAGAAUCACCCCAAAUCAGCCCAAAAAUCACCCUAAAAACCCCCAAAAUACCCCAAAAUCACCCCUAAAUCACGCACAAUCACCCCGAAGUCACCCCCAAAAUCCCCCAAAAUCACCCCUAAAUCACCCAAAAAUCCCCAAAAUACCCCCAAAUCAACCUAAAUCACCCAAAAUCACCCCAAAAAUCCCCAAAAUCACCCAAAAGUCACUCCAAAUCACCCCAAAAUCACCCCAAAAAUCACCCCAAAAUCCUCCCAAAAUCCCCCCAAAAUCACCCCAAAAUCAACCCUACAUCACCCAAAAUCACCCCAAAAUCCCCUAAAUGACCCCCAAAUCCCCCAAAAUACCCCCAAAUCACCCCAAAUCCCCAAAAUUUGCCCAAAAUCCCCCGAAUUUCCCCCAAAAUCCCUCCUGACCCCUCUCCCCUCCCCCACAGGCUCCGGGCUCCCCUCUGGCUCCGCCCCCUCGGCCGCGGGGGGCGUGGCCUCAUUAGCAUCGCCCCGCCCACCGCGCCUCAAGC